rnacentral:rRNA from 1 species
GGCGUUAAGUUGCAGGGUAUAGACCCGAAACCCGGUGAUCUAGCCAUGGGCAGGUUGAAGGUUGGGUAACACUAACUGGAGGACCGAACCGACUAAUGUUGAAAAAUUAGCGGAUGACCUGUGGCUGGGGGUGAAAGGCCAAUCAAACCGGGAGAUAGCUGGUUCUCCCCGAAAGCUAUUUAGGUAGCGCCUCGUGAAUUCAUCUCCGGGGGUAGAGCACUGUUUCGGCUAGGGGGCCAUCCCGGCUUACCAACCCGAUGCAAACUGCGAAUACCGGAGAAUGUUAUCACGGGAGACACACGGCGGGUGCUAACGUCCGUCGUGAAGAGGGAAACAACCCAGACCGCCAGCUAAGGUCCCAAAGUCAUGGUUAAGUGGGAAACGAUGUGGGAAGGCCCAGACAGCCAGGAUGUUGGCUUAGAAGCAGCCAUCAUUUAAAGAAAGCGUAAUAGCUCACUGGUCGAGUCGGCCUGCGCGGAAGAUGUAACGGGGCUAAACCAUGCACCGAAGCUGCGGCAGCGACACUCAGGUGUUGUUGGGUAGGGGAGCGUUCUGUAAGCCUGUGAAGGUGGCCUGUGAGGGUUGCUGGAGGUAUCAGAAGUGCGAAUGCUGACAUAAGUAACGAUAAAGCGGGUGAAAAGCCCGCUCGCCGGAAGACCAAGGGUUCCUGUCCAACGUUAAUCGGGGCAGGGUGAGUCGACCCCUAAGGCGAGGCCGAAAGGCGUAGUCGAUGGGAAACGGGUUAAUAUUCCCGUACUUGGUGUUACUGCGAAGGGGGGACGGAGAAGGCUAUGUUGGCCGGGCGACGGUUGUCCCGGUUUAAGCGUGUAGGUGUGUGUUCCAGGUAAAUCCGGUUCACUUUAACACUGAGGCGUGAUGACGAGGCACUACGGUGCUGAAGCAACAAAUGCCCUGCUUCCAGGAAAAGCCUCUAAGCAUCAGGUAACAUCAAAUCGUACCCCAAACCGACACAGGUGGUCAGGUAGAGAAUACCAAGGCGCUUGAGAGAA